UACGUAGGCAGCGAGCGUUUGUUCGGAGUUACUGGGCGUAAAGGGUGUGUAGGCGGUUUUUUAAGUUUGGUGUGAAAUCUCCCGGCUCAACCGGGAGGGUGCGCCGAAUACUGAGGGACUAGAGUGCGGGAGAGGAAAGUGGAAUUCCUGGUGUAGCGGUGAAAUGCGUAGAUAUCAGGAGGAACACCGGUGGUGUAGACGGCUUUCUGGACCGUAACUGACGCUGAGACACGAAAGCGUGGGUAGCAAACAGG
rnacentral:rRNA from 1 species